CGUGAUUCGCGACAUUUUGUCGACUAUUCGUACUUUUGCUGCAUAUUCGCACUUCUUGUAUCAAAUGUCCUGUACAAAGCCUUGAUUUGUACAGAUCAAAGACACAUUGUGGACAAUACGAAGAGACCAACUUACUUGAAUUCAGGAUUUUGUCUAAUACCAACUAAGAAAAAGGUAGGAGCUGUAUGUAUAACUAUAAUUUCAUUAACUAAUGGACUAACAUGUAUAUCAUUAUUAUACAAAAUGUUGAAGAAUCUAAUUUUUCAAGCAACUAUAUACAUUUUAUAAGUUUCGCGCAAUGGCAUUAAUAGGGUGUCUUCAGUAUUCAUUGGAACGAAUCAAAGUCGCUGUUUACAGAAUACCUGUCGGUUUCAGAUCAAACCACACCUUGUUCUCAGCUUAAAGUUACUACCUUUAAUAGCAUAUACCUAAUUUCAAGACAACGUCCUUUGUAAGGUUAUAUUUGUUGUGUUCAAUGUUAUAUUUGUUAAGGUUCUUUUUAUAUAUUGUGGCUACCGAUAACAUUUCUCGUCCCUUUAUAUGGCUUGCUUCAUUUACUGACAACGACCUUUGGUACGUAAAUGUGUAAAAUUUCUACUUUCGUUUUACUUUCUCCAUUGUUCGGCAGAAAGACGAAAUCGAUACCGAAAGUGAAACCAAACUGCAACAAGUCGAUUCUAUAUAUAUUUUUUGAUAGCAUAUCUGUUUAGUUGUUUAAUUUAAUUACAAAACUGGCUGAAAUGUAAAUUGGGGGCCAUUAUCAAGAUGAAUGAAUUUUUACGUACAUUUAGCUAAAUCAUAUUGAUUUUACUAUUUCGAAAUAAGUAGCUUCUUCUUGGAAUCGCGCGUUCUGGGAAUCCGACUAAGCAUUUGCUUUUAUCUAUGACGUAUAUUCUCGUCAACCGAUUAAUCGCAAUUAUAAUAUCCAAAAUAUAAAAUGAAACUAGCUCUAAAAAAAAGCAUUUUGAAAAUCUAUUCAAGAUAUCGAUUAAAAUCAAGGUAAAAUGUAUUACGAUAUAAAAUGUUGGCUUUAAUUCAGUUCACAUUUUGGAUUUUUAUAUUUUCUCAAAUUGUCGACUAGAAAUGUGUUUGGGCAAGUACUGAUUAUCUGUGUACGAUGUGAGCACAGUUUGUAUGUUUAAUAUACACAUUAUUUUCUGUUAAAAACAAUGAAAGGUAACACACGCUUCAUACGUUGCGCUUCCCAAGAGUAAAAUUCAAAUAUAAUAUGCUUUUAAUGCUUUGUCUUAUAAACUCAAGGCAUCUCCCGACUAACAAUAGAAUUACACUGACAAAUAUCAUGUGUACAAUUAUAACGUUUGAUGCCAUGUCAUCAAGAUUAGUUGUGCAUCGAUAUAAAAAUGUUGAGAAUAAUUCUCCUCAUGAUGAUUGCAGUAAUGCGUGAAACUCUGAGUAGAGACAAAAAACAUUUUAACUAUAUAAGAACGGUCAUUAUAUAAUUAGCCAGCUCUACAGAAUUUUAAGUAUUGAGCACUCUCUUGUACUAUACGUUACAAAAGCUUACACUAUUAUACGCUAUAUAUGUACUAUUAUGGCAAUUUUACAAUAUGAUAUAGAUUCAACGAUGGCAGGAACAGCUAAACGGUUUGGUCUCAUUACACUGGCGAUAGUAAAGAUGGU
rnacentral:lncRNA from 1 species